UUUUUUUGUAUAAUUGUAGAUUAUAACCAGGAGUCUCAGUAUAAAAUGUGAUUUGUACUUAUUUCUGCAGGGUAUGUACUGUACUUCAGAAGUCCUGUAACCAGCCCCAGAGAAAGGCCUAGGCAAACUAAGCAAGUUUAGGGUGGUGGCAAAAAAAUGAAAAUGGAAGCAAGGAACUGCAUUAAUGUGCGAACACCUGACGUUUAGCACCCCGGUAACUGGCAUCGCACUGAAGAAUCAUAUCCAAACAUGCUCUUUGGCAUGAUAUCGAGUGAUCGACAGUAAAUUGUGUUAGUUCUACUUAUAUAGUAGUGUGCACAGGGGGAAGGCAGAAACAGAACUGGUAGGUGACAUAAUCACACACUAAGACAUGAGCCUGAUAUACACGCUUUGCAAGGGAGCCGGCUCUUUUGUACAGUGCUUUAGUGCGAGAGGUCACGGGUUCGCGUUAACCGAGAUCCCUACAAUAUAAUAUAUACAGUAGAACAACAAUCUAGCCUGAGUGCAAAACUUUAAUCCAAUACGGCCACUGGGGAGGAAAUGUAGUCGAAUUUGGUGCGUACAAAAGCAUUUUAAUACAUUAAUCCAAUACGGCCACUGGGGAGGAAAUGUAGUCGAAUUUGAUGCGUACAAAAGCAUUUUAAUACAUUUGCAAACCAUUUUUCCCCAUUUUUUUUAAAGAUUUGUUUAAACUAUUUUCAAUCUGUGUUGGUGUUUGUUGAAAUAAAAAAAACCGUUUGACCAUCCUGUUAUGGCAUUCUACAUGUGCGGAGAAAAUUGGUCUAUGACUAACCUACGUCAUCCAAGCCACACGAGACAGGACUCGAUUUUCGUCGUCAGAACAAGAAUUUGAAAGGAAACACAUUGCUGAGCACUCCUGGCCAGUUCAUUCUGCACCAAAAGGGAAAGCUUGUUUUUUAGUCUACAGUAUGUACUGGCGCUUCAGCCAACCGAAGAGCCUCUGCCAAAAGCCCGGGAGUCUAGCUGUGGGAGUCCUGCAAGGAAAGGCUGUUGGCUCUGGAAGAUGCCAGCUACUAGACAGCACAUCUCCACUCUAGCACGCACUUGCUGGUUCUUCCUGAGCAACGUACAAAGAAUCAGACCCUUCCUCACCAACUACUCCAUGCAACUUCUCGUCCACCUAUACUGCAACUCCUUCCUGGCUGGCCUCCCUGUGUCCGCUCCAGCUCAUCCAGAACUCCGUCUAGCUUCUCUCACACUACUUCACUGGCUCCUGAUCACCGCUUGCAUCCAGUUCAAGACUUGUACUCACCUACCGAUGCCUUCACUAGGCUGCACCCAGCUACCUCUAGACCCUCAUCUCUCCCUACACCCUCACCGAUCACUCCGCGCCGCCUCCACUAGAAGACUGGCUGUCCUUCUCCACACAUGCCCUGCAGUGCUGGAACGACCUUCCUGCGGAUGUCAAGAGAGCGAGUGACGUGCAGCGUUGGCUUAGUGCUGACUCAAUGAACUCACCGACUCUCAGCUGCUGAGCUGCUCAGCAGAAAGAUGGGAACUCCCACACCACGAUUAAGCUGUUAUAUAAAAAUUAUGGAUGGGAUUUAAAUGUAGAUACUGAUACUGUUGUCCGAUUUUAAAAUGGUAAUCGCCAGUAUACACACAAUUUUUUUUUAUUUAUGUAUUAUUGUGUAACAAAUAAGACGCAGCAAAUAUGACACACA